rnacentral:rRNA from 1 species
AGCGAACGCUGGCGGCAGGCUUAACACAUGCAAGUCGAGCGGACACUUCGGUGUCAGCGGCAGACGGUUGAGUAACACGUGGGAACGUACCCUUUGGUUCGGAAUAACGCUGGGAAACUAGCGCUAAUACCGGAUACGCCCUUUUGGGGAAAGGCUUGCUGCCGAAGGAUCGGCCCGCGUCUGAUUAGCUAGUUGGUUGGGUAAUGGCCUACCAAGGCGACGAUCAGUAGCUGGUCUGAGAGGAUGAUCAGCCACACUGGGACUGAGACACGGCCCAGACUCCUACGGGAGGCAGCAGUGGGGAAUAUUGGACAAUGGGCGCAAGCCUGAUCCAGCCAUGCCGCGUGAGUGAUGAAGGCCUUAGGGUUGUAAAGCUCUUUUGUCCGGGACGAUAAUGACGGUACCGGAAGAAUAAGCCCCGGCUAACUUCGUG